rfam:Herbaspirillum sp. CF444 PMI16_contig_24.24, whole genome shotgun sequence.
AGUCUCCUGCCGUGUUCGCGAAUGCUUAUAUUCCUUGAACCAUUUAUGCGCACAGGCUGUGGGAUUUUGUUUGGUGGGCGUGAGCGUCGCUAGUCCGAUGAACCCGAAAUUAAACUAACUGCAGCCAACUUGAACCGUUUGGUUCAGGAUGCCGGCAUAGCGGCACAGGCGGGACUAGA